CUCCGGUAUUGUGAUUCGGGUAUCUGGAUUCGUGUCUAGCAUCCGGGUCACAAGCCUUGCAAGCUCAGGAGAAAACCAUUUAGGACACUUAAACUGCCCUUUAUAUAUCUUUGUAUACAUAACCAAUAUGUUCUUGUCAUCAAAUGGAAGAUAACCAGCCAUCAAUACAAACAAGAUCACUCCACAAGACCAAAUAUCGGCUUUUGCACCUUCAUAACCUUUCCUUGUCAAAACCUCAGGCGCCAAAUAAGCUGGUGUCCCGCAAAACGUUUGACAGAUUCCUUCUUGCUUGAGCUGCUCCGAGACAACGCUGAGCCCAAAGUCAGAGACUUUCACGUUCCCCUUGUCGUCCAAAAGCAGAUUCUCAAGCUUGAGAUCGCGGUGGUAAACACCGCGGCUGUGGCAGAAAGCAACGGAUGAGAUCAACUGCUGGAAAUAUCUCCUCGCGGUUCCUUCUCGAAGCCGUCCUCUAGCCACCGUAUUAUAAAGCUCUCCGCCUCGAACGUACUCCAUCACAAUGUAAAUCUUUGUCUUCGUAGCCAUAACCUCGAGUAGGUGUACAAUGUAAGGGUGGCGGACACGGCGGAGGAUUGAAAUCUCCCGUUUAAUAUGACCGGCCAAUCCACUCUUCACUAUCUUCUCCUUGUCAAUGACUUUGAUGGCAA